UGGGGAAUCUUGCGCAAUGGGCGAAAGCCUGACGCAGCGACGCCGCGUGCGGGAUGACGGCCUUCGGGUUGUAAACCGCUGUCGGGAGGGACGAAGCUCUGACGGUACCUCCAAAGGAAGCACCGGCUAACUCUGUGCCAGCAGCCGCGGUAAUACAGAGGGUGCGAGCGUUGUCCGGAAUCACUGGGCGUAAAGGGCGCGUAGGCGGCCCGGUAAGUCGGAGGUGAAACGCUGCGGCUCAACCGCAGCACUGCCUUCGAGACUGCCAGGCUUGAGCACGGUAGAGGCUAGCGGAAUUCCCGGUGUAGCGGUGGAAUGCGUAGAGAUCGGGAAGAACAUCGGUGGCGAAGGCGGCUAGCUGGGCCGUUGCUGACGCUGAGGCGCGACAGCGUGGGGAGCAAACAGGAUUAGAUACCCUGGUAGUCCACGCCGUAAACGAUGAGUGCUAGUGUAGAGGGUUUCGCCCUUUAGUGCUGCAGCUAACG
rnacentral:rRNA from 1 species